AUGACAUUCCGAUUUCGCUUUUGUUCGCUUGUGCCACUCCAAACCUCGACAACACAUAUGCUGAUUUCUGCAUGGUUCUAUAUCAGACCUCCAUCUUUCAAUGCAUAUUCUGACCUCGUGACGAACAUCCAGCUAACGAAAUUAGUAUCUAAACUGAAGGAUGUUUCGUGUAGAUUCCAGAAAAUCAAGAAUUGUGUCGAUACGAGUUACAAGGAGAAAGUUGUUACCUUUUAA